AUUGAACGCUGGCGGCAGGCCUAACACAUGCAAGUCGAGCGCGCGGCGGACGGGUGAGUAAUGUCUGGGAAACUGCCCGAUGGAGGGGGAUAACUCCAGGAAAAGGUGUCUAAUACCGCAUACCACCAGAUGUGUCCAGAUGGGGUUUGCUAGUAGAUGGGGUAAUGGCUCACCUAGGCGACGAUCCCUAGCUGGUCUGAGAGGAUGACCAGCCACACUGGAACUGAGACACGGUCCAGACUCCUACGGGAGGCAGCAGUGGGGAAUAUUGCACAAUGGGCGCAAGCCUGAUGCAGCCAUGCCGCGUGUGUGAAGAAGGCCUUCGGGUUGUAAAGCACUUUCAGCGGGGAGGCGUUACCCGCAGAAGAAGCACCGGCUAACUCCGUGCCAGCAGCCGCGGUAAUUC
rnacentral:rRNA from 1 species